CACUGCAGGCACCCGUGGAGCCGCACGGCCACCGAUCACGCCAACAGCCAUGGGCAAACUGAGACUGUGUUGGGAACUGGAGAUCAGCAGCUGCUUGAUCCCCGAAACAUGUGGAAGCCUCGGCAAUUCUUCCGAGAUGAAAGCACUGCGAACAGGCUGCCUGGAAGGGAAGCUGGACGUGCUGAUUUGAAGUGACUGGGAUUGCCCCUGGCUCUUGUUUUAGAAAGGAUGCCACAUUUGCCAUUUUGUGUUCCCUUGGUGGCACAGAGAGCUGUACCACUCACCCCCCCCUGCUGAAUUUCUGACCCGCAGAGGCUUUCAGCUGCCCGUUCUCCCCACGAGGCUGUGGCUGCUUCAGGCAUUGCCUGCUGCCCAAAGCCCUCCUGAGCCACAGCUCCUUGCACAGCUGCCCACAGAGCUGCACAAAGAGACAGAGAUUUGAAAUGAAUGCACACGUGGCCACUACAGCUUGAGCCUCAUCUUCCUUCAUUCCUCGCUUCCUCAGUACGUGAGUUAUCCCAGCAAACCUAUCACAACUUCAAAUCAAUCCAGGAGCAGAAAUAAUGGGCAAAUGCAGGAUGCCCUUGUUUAAAGGCAGGAAAAUGCACAGCAAAUGCUGAGGUGCUACUGAAAUUUUUCUCACCUUGUCAGAUGCAUCCAAAUCCCAGUUAAUCAAUUUGACUUCCUGGAUGAUGAGUGGAGAGGUGUAAAUGAGAGGUCUCCGCUGUGUCUUCUGGUCUCUAAUGCUUUGUCAAGGGCUCAAGGUGGCAGGAUUCCCGUUACAGACUCUUGCUGGCAGAGUUGCAGCUCUCUGCCCUCAGAUCCACAAGGCACUUGUAGAUAGGCUUGGUUUUAAGACUGAAAAGUGAACAAGUUUUGAACUUCUCAUCAAAGGCAACACAACUCCAUGUGAAUGCAGAGAGAAGUGUGCAUCUAAAUGCAGCUCCUGGAUGGUCUCAGCUGAACUUGAGGGUCUCCUGCUUACUGUGUCUGUAUUUUCACAGACAGACUAAAAGCAAUACGCACAGGUUGGUGCACCGAAGAGCAGACUGCUUGCAGAGGUGAAGAAGUGUACAGUAUCAGUAUAUGUACAUGACACAGUAAAAAUCGCCUACGUUCUCCAUUCAUUGUCAAGUCAUUUUUGUUAGCAGUGAGUUUUCAGUUAAGGAAAAGAUGGUUUGGGUUUCUCUUUUCUGUCCUAUAUUCCAACAGAGAUUAUGAAGAAUGACCAGAUUUAGCACCUACCUAAGAAGAAAACUUACCCUAAGGCGCGUUAAAGGCUUGGAGACUUCUGGAGCCAAAAGUCUACCACAGCAAAGGAUACUGCAUUCUUCAGCAAUGUCAGGGUGGCUGCUCUUCCCAGAAAUGGGGGCUGUCCCUGUGGACUGCAGAGUGCCUACCAGUGCAGUGAGCUGCGCUGGCGUACCCAGAGACUCCAACAGGACUUUGCUGUCUGCCAGUGUUAUCUGCUGGUUUCAUACCACAAUGGAUAUCAUGUGGCCAGAUGUCAGAUGGGAACCGAACACACUGUCAAUGGCAGUCUGUGUGAUUUUAAGGAGAUAAAAAGGAAAAAAGAAAAAAAUAAAGAAAAAAAUAAAGGCUCAAGAUGCAGACCCAAGAGGACUAGCUAGACAAUACCCAUCAGCUCAGGGAGAGGGAAGAUUUACAAUGUCAUAUUGGUUUUCUUUGUUCUGUCACCCAAAUCUUUCAGCUGAAAAUUCAAGGACUAUCAAAUCCAUUUUAAAGCCUUUCUUUUCCAGCCACUCUGAAGUUCCAUUAUUAGUAGCUAUUACGUACUUGCCAUUUGUGUUUUGAAUAAUAAAGUCUAAAUUGUAACAGUCCACAGAAAAUCAAAUGCAA